UUUCCGUAGGUGAACCUGCGGAAGGAUCAUUAUUGUAUAACGGAGGUGCGAGGGCAGUCGCUGACCCGACAGGUCGUGCACGCCCGAGUGCCCUCACACACAUCCAUCUCACCCCUAUGUGCACCACCGGGUGGGUCCUCCCUUGGCUUGUUCGGAGGGGGGCUUACGUUUUCUCACAAACUUUGUAUGCAGUGUAGAAUGUAUUUUUUGUUUUUGCGAUCCCGCAAUGAAUACAACUUUCAACAACGGAUCUCUUGGUUCUC
rnacentral:misc_RNA from 1 species